UACGGAGGGAGCUAGCGUUGUUCGGAAUUACUGGGCGUAAAGCGCACGUAGGCGGCUAUUCAAGUCGGGGGUGAAAGCCCGGGGCUCAACCCCGGAACUGCCCUCGAAACUAGAUAGCUAGAAUCUUGGAGAGGCGAGUGGAAUUCCCAGUGUAGAGGUGAAAUUCGUAGAUAUUGGGAAGAACACCGGUGGCGAAGGCGGCUCACUGGCUCAUUACUGACGCUCAGGCGCGACAGCGUGGGGAUCAAACAGG
rnacentral:rRNA from 1 species